rnacentral:tRNA from 1 species
GGGGCUUUAGUUCAGUGGUACAGCAUCUGCUUUUUGUGCAGAAAGUCCCUGGUUCAAUCUGCUUCAUGCCCAGCUAAAGGGAUCA